rnacentral:rRNA from 1 species
UCUGGGAUUAGAUACCCCACUAUAGUCUUAAAAAAACACAGGGCACUACGGUCAUUAAGAUUAAAACCCAAAGAAUUUGGCGGCGCUCCAACCCUAACCAGAGGAGUUUGUACCAUAAACGAUAAUCCGCGAGAUAAACCUACCACUUUUAGCAAAUCAGUUUGUAUACCAUCGUCGUCAGCUAACCUCAAAAAAGAGUUAACAUAAAAGUUUUUCCAACCUAACUUCAGAUCAAGGUGCAACUAAUAAAGUGGAAAGUAUGAACUACAAAGGUUUUAACAACAGCAGAUAAAAGUUGAAAAACUUUUAAUAAGGAGAAUUUGGAAGUAAUUUUCUAAAGUAUAAGGAAAUGAAAACCAGAAACUGGUGCGUGCACACACCGCCCGUCACCCUCCUCAA